AUGAGUUUUGCUGGAGCCUUUUGGCCAAGCAUUGAGAACAAAUGUUGGAGAUCUUCUGAAACACCUGGCUUUGGUGCUGGGUGCCUUAUACAGGUGAGGCCAUUCAAGCUAAAGGGGUGCAGCCAAGUUUAUAAAGUCACUAAGAGGAGCUGGUGGUCCUUGAGCCACCCAGGUCUUCAUGCCCGUGAAGCUAAAGCUGCAAAAAUCCCCGUGAAGCAGCCCCUGUUGGGAAAAAGAACCCCCCAAGCCAAAAUCCAAGGUUACCGAGUCCCUGCUGAAGCCGAAGGGGAGGGAUGCUGUUCGCCCCAGCCUGAGAAGCAGCAGGGAGGAGCAGCCCUGUCACUCUGGUUUAUUACAGAGUAUGAAAAGCAGGAAGCUUUCUGCUCACUUCAUACAUCUCCUCCGCAGAGCCAGCCAUCAGAAGCCAGCACAGACUCCAGACUGAUUAUUGUUACACAUGAUCUAUGGAGCAGAUAA
rnacentral:lncRNA from 1 species